CAGGCGUGGUGGCUCAUGCCUGUAAUCCCAGCACUUUGGGAGGCCAAGGCGAGUGGAUCACCUGGGGUCAGGAGUUUGAGACCAUCCUGGCCAACAUGGCGAAACCCCAUCUCUAGUAAAAAUGCAAAAAUUAUCCGGGCAUGGUGAUGGGCACCUAUAAUCCCAGAUACACGGGAGGCUGAGGCAGGAGAAUCACUUGAACCCCGGGGGGGCGGAGGUUGCGGUGAGCUGAGAUUGCACCAUUGCACUCCAGCCUGGGCAACAAGAGCGACAUUCCAUCUCAAAAAUAAAUAAAUAAAAUAAAAAAAGAAAAGAAAAUACUGAGCUCAGGCUGGGCACAUUGAUUCACGCCUGUAAUCCCAACACUUUGAGAGGCUGAGGUAGGAGGAUGGCUUGAGCCCAGGAGUUGGAGACCAGCCUGGGCAACACAGGACGACCCCACGUCUACCCCUCCACCCCCCCAAAAAAAAGAAAGAAAAAGAGGCUGAGUUCCCUAGGGCACUAUUCUUAGCCUUUUAUGACCACAACCUAUCCCUGGACAGCCUCAUCCACAAACAUGGCAUUAAGUGCCAUUCUACAUGUUUAGUAAACGUGUAUUGAAUGACUCAGUGAAAAAUGAAGGCAAAAUUUCUGGGAAAGAUGAUAUAUGGGACUGAAUCGUGCUCCCCCGCCAAUUCAUAUGUUGAAGUCCAAACCCCUAGUACCUCAGAAUGUAACCAUAUUUGGAGAAAAGGGCCUUCAAGAGCUGAUUAAAUUAAAAUGAGGUCAUUAGAGUGGGGUCCUAAUCCGGUAUGACUAGUGUUAUAACUAGUGUUCUUUUUUUUUUUUUUUUCUGAGACGGAGUUUCGCUUUUGUUGCCCAGGCUGGAGUGCAGUGGCGCAGUCACAGCUCACUGCAACUUCUGCCUCCUGGGUUUAAUCGAUUCUCCUGCCUCAGCCUCCCAAGUAGCUGGGAUUACAGGCAUGCACCACCAUGCCCAGCUAAUUUUGUAUUUUUUUUUAGUAGAGAUGGGGUUUCACCAUGUUGGUC
rnacentral:lncRNA from 1 species